UACGUAGGGGGCAAGCGUUGUCCGGAUUUAUUGGGCGUAAAGAGCGUGUAGGCGGUCAGGUAGGUCCGUUGUGAAAACUCGAGGCUCAACCUCGAGACGCCGAUGGAAACCGCAUGGCUAGAGUCCGGAAGAGGAGAGUGGAAUUCCUGGUGUAGCGGUGAAAUGCGCAGAUAUCAGGAAGAACACCCGUGGCGAAGGCGGCUCUCUAGUACGGUACUGACGCUGAGACGCGAAAGCGUGGGGAGCGAACAGG
rnacentral:rRNA from 1 species